rnacentral:rRNA from 1 species
AUCCUACGGGGGGCAGCAGUGGGGAACAUUGCACAAUGGGGGAAACCCUGAUGCAGCGACGCCGCGUGAGUGAAGAAGUAUCUCGGUACGUAAAGCUCUAUCAGCAGGGAAGAAAAAAAGUCUUUGGCUUUGGACGGUACCUGACUAAGAAGCCCCGGCUAACUACGUGCCAGCAGCCGCGGUAAUACGUAGGAGGCAAGCGUUAUCAGGAUUUACUCGGUGUAAAGGGA